rnacentral:rRNA from 1 species
CCGCCCGUCACAUCAUGAAAGCCGUUUGUACCCGAAGUCGUCGUGCUAACCGCAAGGAGGCAGAUGCCGAAGGUAUGGAGUGGUGAUUGGGAGUG